rnacentral:lncRNA from 1 species
AACUUCAAAUUCUACAGUUAAAAAAAUCAUUCAUCCUCAGUCCUCAUUUGGAAUAAAGUACCAUGCUUUUUGUCCGAAAUCUUCUUUUAGAUCUAUCCACUUCACGCCUUGAAUAUGCAUUGAGAUUUAACAAAACUCUCUGACCACACCUGGGUGGAGUUCAUCAGCUGGCUUGGCCCAGCUGAGAAACUGCAAUUUUUCAGAGCCUCAGGGUGAGAAGAUGCAAGAGAGAGCAGGGGCUUGUGGCUUUCUGGGGAGCAAGUGGGAUGACAUCAAGUGGCUUCUGCUACUGUGUGUACUUCAAGCACAAUGCAGCUGUGAACGCCCCAUGCCAGGCCCAGCCCAGAGGUGGAGAAAAGACAAGAUCCUGGUCAAGCGUAAGACAGAAGAGAGACAGAUGUUGGUGGCUAAUAUGGCCUGUUUUCCUCACCCGAGUGACUUCUUUCCCCUUUUCCAACCUUGAAUUCAACAGGAAUGGGAUUCAGGAGCAACAUACCAGGUUCAUCUGUUGA